UCCCAGCCUACAUCUUUCUCCCGUGCUGGAUGCUUCCUGUCAUCGAACAUCAGACUCCAAUCUUCAGUUUUGAGAUUUAGACUGGCUCUCCUUGCCUCUCAAGCUUGCAGACAGCCUAUUGUGGGACCUUGUGAUCAUCCUAUCAAUCAAGACCACAUCCUUUCAAAAGCUUAUAGAGCAGAAGUAGACUCCUACCACGCGUUCAGCUGGUGUCCUUUGACUGCUGCUUUGCUCAGUUCCACCUUGGAUGGCUUGCACUGCAUUUAACGGUUGGAAGUUAGACUUUUUGUAAAUCUACUCAUUUAUAUCAAGUUGAAGAGAGAUUUCCCUGAACACAGAAGAAGGAGGGCUUAUGAAGAUUCUUUUUUCUUUAUUUUCUCUUUUGUUUUGGUAAGUGGCCUUAAGGAAUCUAUAAUUCUUCAAAUUCCAUGGAAGAGAAACUUAACUAAAACAUUCAGCAUAUUUCUUCCAGUGAUUUCCCAAGUCAUCUGCUAUUUUGCUAAUAAAUAUCUUA
rnacentral:lncRNA from 1 species